rnacentral:tRNA from 1 species
AGCCCCGUAGUGUAGUGGCCAAUUAAACCAAUUAUUUGACCUUGUGACCACGGUUCGAAUCCGUGCGGGGCUA